CCAUAGGUUAAUGAGGCGAACCGGGGGAACUGAAACAUCUAAGUACCCCGAGGAAAAGAAAUCAACCGAGAUUCCCCCAGUAGCGGCGAGCGAACGGGGAGGAGCCCAGAGCCUGAAUCAGCAUGUGUGUUAGUGGAAGCGUCUGGAAAGGCGCGCGAUACAGGGUGACAGCCCCGUACACAAAAGCGCAUGUGCUGUGAGCUCGAUGAGUAGGGCGGGACACGUGGUAUCCUGUCUGAAUAUGGGGGGACCAUCCUCCAAGGCUAAAUACUCCUGACUGACCGAUAGUGAACCAGUACCGUGAGGGAAAGGCGAAAAGAACCCCGGCGAGGGGAGUGAAAAAGAACCUGAAACCGUGU
rnacentral:rRNA from 3 species